GACGUAGGGGGCCAGCGUUGUUCGGAAUUACUGGGCGUAAAGGGCGCGUAGGCGGCCGAUCAAGUCAGAUGUGAAAGUCCUGGGCUUAACCUGGGGACUGCAUUUGAUACUGAUUGGCUUGAAUUCGGGAGAGGAUAGCGGAAUUCCCAGUGUAGAGGUGAAAUUCGUAGAUAUUGGGAAGAACACCGGUGGCGAAGGCGGCUAUCUGGACCGACAUUGACGCUGAGGCGCGAAAGCGUGGGGAGCAAACAGG
rnacentral:rRNA from 1 species